CAUUUGGAAAGUCUUUGACCCUGGAUGAACUUUGUCAUUUAUGCAGUUUACCAGCAUUUUCACUUCAAAAGAAGAACGUUCAGGCCGCCGAAUUUUCCUUCUAGAAGUACACAUCACCCUUGGCGUGAAUGACCGGAAGUGCAACUGGAGUACCCGCAGAAAACCCAAGUGUACGGACAGGUGACCUCAUACCUUUGUCACGUCCGACCAUUUUGUAUGUUAAUCCUCUGUCAGGUUACAUACGUGUAUGUAAAGGUACAGUGUAGUAAUAUUAAUUGUGAUAAUUAUGUACGUUCUGUCCGCCUCAGGACCUACCUAGUCAUGUCUGUUGUGAACUUUCUAUGUAAUUUUUCUGUCAGGUUACACGACCUACCUAGUCCAGGACGCCAGCCGAGGCGUCGCCAAUGCUACCUCUGUGGCAGCCGUGGCGGACAUGAAAUCAAAAGGUAUCAACAUUAUUCAGAGUGACGAUGUGGGUGCCAUUUUGGAAUCUAUAACUAGCGGAGUUUCAUCACACGGAAGUUGCUUAACAACGAUUCUUCUCGUUGUCAUGGCGAUCGUUUUCAUGCAAAUGUUCAGUUGUCAUUCUGUCCAGGAAUGAGUGUUUAGUUAAAUCAUACAGAGUAUUUGUAAUGGACCACCAUAUUCAUUGGAAUACAGUGCUUUAUAUGUAUUUGUUUUUGUUACCAUAUUUUGGUAGGUUCUGAUUAGCGAAAAAAUCGUUGUCAAAUUUUCGAGGCAAUUCGACCCAUUUUUCAAGACAGAAACAUGGUUAACUAUAUAUCACAUCAUAUAACAAGGAAAUGUGUCACUAUAAAACAAUGCUACAACAUCAAAUACAUAAACACAAAAAAACAGUUAUCACUUAUGAAAUAUGCUGAUGUUAUCACAUAUCCCUUUUGUUAGCUUGUAGCCGAUCCAUGCCCAUUUUGGACCAUGCUGUUGUAAUUACUUAUGAGACCUACAGUUUCAUUAAAUAAAAGCCAUGUAUAAAUGUACUCACCACAGUCGACCUAAACUGAUGUCUAGUGGGAACAUUACCACCUGUCCAGUUACAAAAUCCAAUCAUUUGGUGCCAGAACCUUUCAUAUCAAAUUCCCCUCAACGCAUGGUAAGGAUCGCUUUUCCGCUGCACUUUGUUAUUUUUCUAUUUACAGUUACUUCCCCUUAACUUUCGUUCAGAUGUAACUGAAGACAAGUUUGGGCAGAACACUUCCGAUGAUUAGGUGCAUGUAACAAGUCCGGGGUUCGAAUCGCGGUCUAGCCCCACUGAAUGUUUACACUCAAAACACUAUUUUUCAUUAUAUGUUAUAUAUCAUAUUUAUUAUUAUUCAUAAAAGUCCCGUAAGUUCAGUCGUUUCCAAAAUAAUUUAUCAAAAAUAUUGUCAUGCCUGAAAAAAACAGUUUCCAACACUUAGUUACGUUUUGGCAGUGGUACAGGGAUCCUUCAACCUACUUUAUAUUUCAUGUUUUGUCAAUAAAAGUACAUUAUACCGCCUAAAAA